GCCGGGAAUAUUAGGACGGGCAGAUCAUUAUAGACAUUUUUUUAGAUUUUUUUAUUUGUUAAUAAUUUGAGGAUUCCUAUUUCUCUAAGGAGAACCUUGAGAUCUUCCUCCCCGCCGAUCAAGCAGCAACACAGCCCGUGAUAGGCUUAGCUUAAGUCGCUAACGUUCGGUUUGGUCAAGUAAAGUCCCUUCGGUCGGUUCGCUCAGGUGGUCUUCCCUUAUUUUCCCUAACGUUUAGAGUUGGUAGAUUUUCUACUUUUCCAUUUUCCUUCUUGUUUAUCAAUCACCAAUCAAGACAAACCGGGCACUAUGGUGAGACGUGAAAACACCCGAUCCCAUUCCGACCUCGAUAUAUAUGUGGAAUCGUCUUGUGCCAUAUGUACUGAAAUUGUUCGGGAGACAUGGUCAAAGCCCGGAGAAAGAGCAAGAAAACUAAAGAAAGCGUUAGCGCAUUGGACUCGAAAUCCAAAUUGUGACGGAUAGUUUUUUGAACCGCAUGUUGUAAACGACCAAGAGCCAGUCCGAAUUGAUCUUGUAACAGAUCUGCAACCGAACGAAUACGUUUAUUUUUCAAGUGAUUCAUAUCGUCAUCAUCAAGUAUACCCGUUCCAAAAGUUAAUCAACUAACUUCGUUACCUAGUUAUUACCUAAAUAAGGAUAUUUAUGAAAAAAAAAGUGGAAUCAUUUAACUUUCUAUUCAUUUUUCUAUUUCUUUAAAACAAAGAUGAAGCAGCUCCCUUGUUUAGAGAACUUAAAUCAUAAUUACUAUAAUUACCUAAGUUUUAUAAUGUCUUGUUUAAGAGACUCAGUAUUUUUUGUUUUUUAAUUCGAAUUCCAUUAUGGAAUACCAUUCUUAACUUAAUUAAAUAAAUUAAAUACUUGUAUUUUCCGUUCUUUUUACCCCCUCGUCUUAUAUGGGGGAUAGACUUCCGUACCAUAUAUCUAUAUAUGGAGUAUCCUUGAUAUAUAAAUAUAUAGAUAAAUAGAUUUAAAUGAAAAACAUUUCUAUAUAUUCUAUAUUAUUAAAACAAAGUAUAAAAUAUAUACGGAAAAAGUGCUAACAAAUUCUUGUCUUAUCUGCAUUAGACAAAAUGAAGUAAAAAAUAAUUCAGAAUUUAAAUAUCUUUCAGUAUAUAAGUAUAAAUACUAAGAAAAAGAAGAAAGAAAGAAGGAUUGAUUUGUGGCAAUAGAUGUCUUUCACAUGCAACUAGAAAAAAGUAAUUUCCUUUUUGAAUGGCAGUUCCAAAAAAACGUGAUUCAAUGUCAAAAAAGCGUAUUCGCAAAAUUAUUUGGAAAAAUAAGAAGCAAGAAAUAACGAUUGCAAAAAACCUUCUUUUUUCUUUCAAAAGUCUAUAAAAACUAUAUUGCCAAUUCCAUUUUAGUUAUAUUCUUUUUUCUUAAUGUUAAUAAAAAAAAGAAGAAAAUUCUUGUUACACGCAGGUUACAGGGGUAUGCACCAAUGCACGUACCAAUGGUCAUGUACCAGCAGAUGGAUGUAUACCCAAUUUGUGAUAAAUAAAAGACGUUUUAUCUCACGGAAUUGGUUAUCUUUCUUGCAUUUGUUGAUCAUAUGUUGCAGGGUGAAAGAAGCAGGAGGUUGAGCGGACACGUGAAUGAAUCUAGACCUCUAAUUGACUAAUUUCGUAUUUGGUGAUUAUUACUGACAGUAAAGAAUCGGAACUAACAACAACGUUUUUACAAAAAGAAGACAAUGUUUGUUGACUUCACGGGAAUGUCAGGUCGCUGUUACGUGAUGGUGUCAAUGGGCAUGUCGUUGACUUCACGGGAAUGUUAAUGUGAUUAUUUUUUUCAAUAAUGCAACCCAACGGAUGCAUCAUCGAUUAAACAAGAAGAGUCAGAAGGCUAGUACAACACCGAAAUGACAAUACAAUGGCAACUAAUGGCAAAAUGAAAAAAAAAAAUAAAGGACUAUGUGCUAACUAUCCAACCAAGGCCGGAAAAAAAACUCUACCCCUAAAGAGUCCCGCAUGCUCCUAGCGACCAAACUCCACCUGGAUGUUGAGAAGGAUUCCCGCCAUUGAAGGUGUCGCCCCGUUGAAGACCACAUUAUUCCGAUGGCACCAGAUGUCCUUCGGAGCCUCACGCGGAAAGGAUAGGGAAGACCACCAAUCUCACAAUGUAAAGUCCGCAUUAGGUGCCCAAUCCACAUGUCCCCAAGCCGCCCACAAGUGCUCCCAAACUUGCCUCGCCAUGAAACAGACCAAGAGCAAAUGGGAAAUGGUCUCCAUCUCUUGAUCGCAUAGGGGGCAUCUGUCCGGCCCGGGUGAGGAAGACCACCUCUCGCAAGCCGGUCCGCCGUCCAGCAUCAAUUCCGUAGCGCAAGCCAGGCGAAUAAUCGGCAUUUCUCUGGUUCCUGCGAGCUCCACACCUCGGCAGCCAACAGAUCAAUCAUGCGGCCAGCAAAAAGGUUCACAUAAGCAGACUUGGCCGAAGAGCCACCGUCGCGAGACCAAUUCCACGCAAGGGAAUCGGUCAUCCCAUCCUCAAGCUGGACCCCACGAAGCCAGUCCCAAAGGGUGAGGAUCUCCUCGAGAGCAUCAUCAUCGAGAUUGGGACCCACAUCGCCAGUCCACGCGCCAAGAAGAGCAUCUCUCACAAUGCACGUACGAACAAUCAUUGGGCAGACACGGCCCACAAAGUGCAGGAAACGCAUCCCAAAUACGGAUGCUCUGCAGCCAACGAUCAGUCCAAAAAAGAGUCCUCUGGUCAUCGCCCACCUGGGAGGAAGUGGCCGCCUCGAAGAUAGCAUCAACCUCCUGGGGUUUUCCACAGUGAAGCCGACCCAAGCUUGAAAUCAUCCACCAGUUCCAACCAUCUCCAUCGAACCCUCAAAGCCUCAUGAGCAUGCGGAGAUUUGGAAUCCCGAGGCCACCAAUUUUGACGAACAAACCAAGUCCCAAGCCACCAUACAGUGCCCACUCGGUAAUGUGAUUGGUGUCCAUGGGUAAACACGAUGAUUCAAGAGAUGUAGUUUUCUUCAACGUCAGUCUUUUGAGGGAUCAGAUGUGUAUGAUUUAGUUGAGACAGCGUAACACACCGACUUGCGUGAUUGAUUUUCGCCGUUAGGGCCAAGGCGGAUUUGAAGGUUUCCAGUCCGUCGAGCUGCUCCGAGACUACAGCUAAACCAAAGGAAAUUUGUCUACCUCGCAGUUUGCAACUUUUACAUUUCACUCUUAGAUGUCCUUGCUAGAGACAGGACACAACUUGAGUUGCAAAAUUCUGCUGUCGUGCAUCUCUUUUCUGAAUUCUAGUGAUAUCAUGACGGGGAAUGGGGAAGCCCGUGUACACUACCUCGGGAUCAAUCAGCUAGAGCUUGAAACAGAAAGAAGCGCAGAUUUUAUUACCAAAAAUGGCACUAUGAAUGAGAGAUAUUUGGGGAACUAGCAUCACAAAUAUUACAACAACCCCCAGGCUUGCGGACACCUCAAACACUGAACUAAAUUUCGACAGUCACUUAAUUGAUGGUAACAUGGAACCAACCGAGUUCCUAACGCUUUCGUGGCUGGACAACAGCAAAAAUCUGAAACAGAGUUGCCUUUGGAGCUUACAUAAAGAAACACAACCAAGCCCUCGUUUGCAAUGUUCUUCUCUCCUCUAGUUCCAUCAACAUUCAGAACUUUCAAUUCUAUGCAAUUAUGCACGACUUGGAGUGUACACACAGGUGGAAGACCUAGGUAAAUGUAAUGCUGUGCUCAAAGAACAAUCAAGUCUCACUUGGUGUAGAGGACAUCCUCCCAUGGGUGACGGUACAGUGGUUGCUUGAGUCUCUUCUGAUCAAAGGUGUGCCUGUGAAUCCAAGAAGCAGAUUAGAAUACUAAAUGUUGUGCUAAUACUACUAAUGAAAUGUCAUUGCAGAAGAAAUACUCACCCAAUUAGGCCAAUUGAACGUGCAAGCACAAAGAGUCCAUUAAGAUACCCAAUCUCUAUAAUCUCAUCAAUCUCUUGCUUGCUGAACAUACCACUCCCAGAAAGAAGAUCCAAGAAAAGAGACCCAAUCGCACCAUCGACGUUCAUAACCAAAUUGUUGGCCUUUGAAAGAGUGUAGGUCUCAACCUGGACAGCAUAUUCCAUAUACUUGACCGAAGGGAAGUUUGUGUGAGCAUAUUUCUGUAGAAGCUGCACUCUCUUGUCCCUGUUGUCUCUGCUCUUGAUCCUGAUAAAGAUAGGCAAAGUGAUAUUUGAGAAGUCAGGAACCAUAAGUAUUUCAAAAUCUUAACGCUAAAGCAAUGAUCUUUUACAUCUUAAAGAAAAAUCAGGUGCAAGGUUAUUAUGAUGCCAAGGAUGUAUUAUACCUGUGACCGAUUCCAGGGACACGGAUUCCCUUCUUUUUCAUGCCCUCAACAAAUUCAUAAGGUGUAAGACCCUAGAAGCAAUGGGUGCAGAUUUAUUAGAGCAAUUAACAAACACAUGAAACAAGGAGCUGGAAAAAAAGGGAUAGAAAAUAAGUUGGCUCACUCUAUCAUAUGCAUCUUUGAAGUACCUAGCAGCGUCAUCAAUUGCGCCACCAAAUCGCGGGCCAAUUGUCAAUAAUCCUGUGAACUUUCAAAUUAAGUAUUGGUAACCUAUGCUGUUGUCUACACAAUGUAAAAAUGUACAUGCAUGUAUUAAACAAGCUCACCAGAUACCAAGCUGGAAACAAGGUCCUUUCCAGCCCUGGCCGUAACUAUCGAAUUGUGAGCACCGGAUACACAAGGACCAUGAUCGGCACAAAGCAUGAUGCAUAUCUACAGUAGACAUGAAAGCAUUUUAGUAUAAAAUGAACUCUAAUAAUAGAGAGCGAAAAAAGUACAGCCUGUUAGAGCAGAAUGUUUGUAGAGAAGAUAGAUUAUCCAUAAUGCAUUUGACCAUAAAUUACCUCAAUAAACUGAGUGCAAUAACGAGGAAGGCUACGCUUGAACCACAGAAGAGAAAUAACAUCACCAACUCCAUAACCCCGUUCAAUAAUUGUAGACAUGGGGACACCAGCAUAGCAAGGUUCCUCACCUGCAUCACACAUACAGCUAUAUUACUUUUGCGGUGGGAUAGCAGAACAGAGGUAAAUUAUCAAGCAUAUAUAGGAUAACAUGUCGCCAACAAUCUAACCUCUGUCAUCAGAGAUAGUGGAAAUAAUGUGUGUGGGAGCUCGGACCUUCCCACUCUUAAUUGCAGUUUUAAGAUCCUCAGGAAUGGGUGGAGGUGUAAUCUCAGCCACAGGAGGAAUAUUUCCUGCCUCAACCUGCCAAAAAUAUAUUUAACCUGACCUUGAUUUCCGCAAUACACACACUCAAAACACUGUACUUGGGAAAUAUGUCGGUCAUGAACUCAAGAUGUGAAAAAUAAAUUAUCACCAUACCAGCUUGUCAAAUGUCUCCUUAAUCACACUUUCGAGAGCUUCAAAUGAAGUAGGGACAACUGCUCCAGCAUCCCUUAGUGCCUGAUUCUUAGCUUGCGCUGAUUCCAACUCACCACCACUCUUCGCCCCCUGUUAUGCCAAUUAAUUAAAAAUCAGGUUUUUGCAUACUAAUUAUAAUAUCCAGCUCACAGAAACUUGAGCAAGAAAGAACAUUGGUAGAUUUAAAAACUUACAGCGUGGCCAAACUGUACUUCAGAUUUGAAUAGACGUGCGCAUGUCCCACUAACCCAUGCAACAACAGGUUUCUGAACCUUUCCUUGUUUCAAGGCUUCGACCAGUGAAUACUCGUCGCUUCCUCCAAGCUCCCCAAGAACAACCAUCAUUUUAACCUAAAGCCAACAAAUAAUACAAUGAGAUAUUGGUACACCAAUGCUCCAUAUUUGGCUCACAAGUACUGCAGGAAGGGCAUUAUUGUGAAAGUGUACUUGUGUGCCAAACGAUCUUUAUGUCCUAAAAUUUUACAUGGUCGAGUGGGUGCAAAGAAAAUAUUGAUAGGACAAAAUUAUGGCAAAGGAGUUGCCCCAGAAAUAUUAAGA
rnacentral:lncRNA from 1 species